rnacentral:sRNA from 1 species
AAGUUAAUGGAGGAGGCAUAUCUGGACUACCGU